rnacentral:lncRNA from 1 species
UAAAUGUGCUAUACAAACUCCCACUAAAAUACAUAAUCCUUAUCUGAUUUGACACCCAUACAAGCAAUAUGCUCAAGAAAUACUUUUGGUGUCAAUCCAUUAGUGAGCGGAUCCGCAAGCAUGGAGUUUGUACUUAUGUACUUAAUGCACAUUGUCCAUUUUGUACUCUUUCCUUAACAACCCGAAAUUUGACGUCCUUAUGUUUCAAAGCCCAAGCCCUAGUUCUUCCAAUUUUUAUCCAAAUUUCUAAUAAUUAA